AGUAGCGGUGAAAUGCGUAGAUAUCUGGAGGAAUACCAAAGGCGAAGGCAGUCCCCUGGUCCGAUACUGACACUGAGGUACGAAAGCGUGGGGAGCAAACAGGAUUAGAUACCCUGGUAGUCCACGCCCUAAACGAUGUCGAUUAGCCAUUGGAAGGACCCCUUUUCCUUUCAGUGACGUAGCUAACGCGUUAAAUCGACCGCCUGGGAAGUACGACCGCAAGGUUAAAACUCAAAGGAAUUGACGGGGACCUGAACAAGCGGUGAAUGAUGUGGAUUAAUUCGAUGCUACGCGAAGAACCUUACCUACCUUUGACAUGGCCAAAGUUUUACCGAGAGGCGGAAGUACUCGUAAGAGGAUUGGCGCACAGGUGCUGCAUGGUUGUCGUCAGUUCGUGUCGUGAGAUGUUGGGUUCAGUCCCGCAACGAACGCAACCCUUAUCUUUAAUUGCUCCUAUUUUAACAGGCACUUUAAAGAGACUGCCAAUGAUAAGUUGGAGGAAGGUGGGGAUCACGUCAAGUCCGCAUGGCCUUUAUAGGUAGGGCUUCACACGUCAUACAAUGGCUAGAACAAAGAGCUGCAAAUUCGUGAGAAGGAGCCAAUCUCACAAACCUAACCUCAGUUCGAAUUGCGGUCUGCAACUCGAGCGCAUGAAGCCGGAAUCGCUAGUAAUCGUGGAUCAGAAUGCCA
rnacentral:rRNA from 1 species